UUCCUUGAACCGCAUGGUUCAAGGAUGAAAGACGGUUUCGGCUGUCACUUACAGAUGGACCCGCGGCGCAUUAGCUAGUUGGUGGGGUAAUGGCUCACCAAGGCGACGAUGCGUAGCCGACCUGAGAGGGUGAUCGGCCACACUGGGACUGAGACACGGCCCAGACUCCUACGGGAGGCAGCAGUAGGGAAUCUUCCGCAAUGGACGAAAGUCUGACGGAGCAACGCCGCGUGAGUGAUGAAGGUUUUCGGAUCGUAAAGCUCUGUUGUUAGGGAAGAACAAGUGCGAGAGUAACUGCUCGCACCUUGACGGUACCUAACCAGAAAGCCACGGCUAACUACGUGCCAGCAGCCUGCGGUAAUACGUAGGUGGCAAGCGUUGUUCCGGAAUUAUUGGGGCCGUAAUAGGGCUCGGCAGGCGGUUUCACUUUUAAGUCUGAUGUGAAAGCCCCCGGCUUCAACCCGGGGGGAGGGUCAUUGGAAACUGGGAAACUUGAGUGCAGAAGAGGAGAGUGGAAUUCCACGUGUAGCGGUGAAAUGCGUAGAGAUGUGGAGGAACACCAGUGGCGAAGGUCGACUCUCUGGUCUGUAACUGACGCU
rnacentral:rRNA from 1 species